rnacentral:tRNA from 1 species
CGGGAUAGCUCAGCUGGNAGAGCAGAGGACUGAAAAUCCUCG